rnacentral:rRNA from 1 species
UCGGGAAUUUUGGGCAAUGGGCGAAAGCCUGACCCAGCAACGCCGCGUGAAGGAUGAAGUCUUUCGGGAUGUAAACUUCGGAAAUAUAGGAAGAAUAAAUGACGGUACUAUAUCUAAGGUCCGGCUAACUACGUGCCAGCAGCCGCGGUAAUACGUAGGGACCAAGCGUUGUUCGGAUUUACUGGGCGUAAAGGGUACGUAGGCGGCGUUACAAGUCACUUGUGAAAUCUCCGGGCUUAACUCGGAACGGCCAAGUGAAACUGUAGUGCUAGAGUGCAGAAUGGGCAAGUGGAAUUCUUGGUGUAGCGGUGAAAUGCGUAGAUAUCAAGAGGAACACCCGAGGCGAAGGCGACUUGCUGGGCUGACACUGACGCUGAGGUACGAAAGCCAGGGGAGCGAACGGGAUUAGAUACCCCCGUAGUCC